UACGAAGGGGGCUAGCGUUGCUCGGAAUCACUGGGCGUAAAGCGCACGUAGGCGGCUUGUUAAGUCAGGGGUGAAAUCCUGGAGCUCAACUCCAGAACUGCCUUUGAUACUGGCGAGCUUGAGUCCGGGAGAGGUGAGUGGAACUGCGAGUGUAGAGGUGAAAUUCGAUAGAUAUUGCAAGAACACCAGUGGCGAAGGCGGCUCACUGGCCCGGUACUGACGCUGAGGUGCGAAAGCGUGGGGAGCAACAGG
rnacentral:rRNA from 1 species